UACAGAGGGGGCAAGCGUUGCUCGGAAUUACUGGGCGUAAAGCGCGUGUAGGCGGGUCGGUAUGUCGGACGUGAAAUCCCUAGGCUCAACCUAGGAACUGCGCUCGAAGCUGCCGGUCUUGAGUGGUGGAGAGGGAAGUGGAAUUCCUGGUGUAGAGGUGAAAUUCGUAGAUAUCAGGAGGAACACCAGUGGCGAAGGCGGCUUCCUGGACACCAACUGACGCUGAGACGCGAAAGCGUGGGGAGCAAACAGG
rnacentral:rRNA from 1 species